UUUUUGUUUUUUUUUGUUUUCUUAGCUUGUUAUAUUUCUUUUGUGUAUAUCUAAUAAAACUCAACAAUUAUUGAAGCUUAACAUAUAAUGGCUUUAUUCUUAAACUGCUGCUAUACUGGUCUACAACGAUUUUUAAAAAACUUUUUUUUUUCCAUUCUUUAAACUCUGCUCAUUUAGAUGUGAACAUUCGCCAACACUUUCUCCUGUUUAAAGUCAGUAUUCUUGCACGCAUCUGAUCCUCUGGACUUUGCCUAGUUUGGUUUCUGAAACACAAUCGGAAUAAAAUCAGCACUUGAAUGACAUUGAUAGAAUGUUUAGUCAAAUCUCAAGUGUCAUAUAUAUGAAAAGAAAUAUAUAAGAUCGUUUCAGUAAGCUGAACACAUGCCUUGUUAGAAUUUAAUUGUUGGACUAGUUCGACUUAUUCAUUACUUGGCAGUUAUUGUUUUUUUUCUCUUCAUUGAAAAUGGAUUUUCCAAAUCUGAAUAAUUAUUUUUAUUAAAGUGAUAAAAUCCAUUCUGUUUCUCAUUUAACUGUGUGCUUAGGUUUUAGUAGGUUUAAAUGGCAAUGUUCUCUUUGGUCGUUUUGUUUCUAUUCUCAAUAUUGAGCAGGUCAAAAAUUGUGUUUGUCUAGGAACAAGUUUGCAGUGGUUCAGUCAAUCUUUAAGAAGGGUAGUGUAAGGCCUUUUUAUCUUCUAGACAGUGCUUUUUGAUACAGUAUGCAGUUGAAGCUUCUGCUGUCUACUUUACAGAGCAUGGGUUGCAGUUUUGGAUACAACAUUUUGCAUCUUUAGCACUCAUUCCAAGUUUUAAAAAAUGAAAAUGAUGAUUUGAUUGGUGGGAUAUUUUGUAAGCAUCAUAUUUUUUCUGGAAUUAAGCCAAAAGUCAUAGCAAAGUCCAAAUGUUCUAUGUUGCUUUCAUUGAUUUCAACUCUUAAAAACUUUCUGCACACAUGUUGUGACAUUUCUUCAGCAUUUCUUUGGGUCAUGAGAUAGUUGACACUUGGUAGUACUGUCUCAUAGUUGACACUUAGUGGCACUGUCGUAGGUAACAAGUAACUUAGUUUGAAAUGAAAUGUUUGUUUUUCUAUCAGUCAGAAAUACAAUGUGAUUGACAAUGAUUGACUGGUAUGGUAAGUGCUAUAGUUAAAAGUUGUCCCCCCCCCCCCCC